GCUUGUUAACCUUGUGCCUUGGAAGGGGGUUGACCUGCAUCUCAAACAUGUUCAAGCUCUAGGUGUCUAUGGCUGGAGUGGCAUAGGUGAAAUAAUAGUAGGUGAAUGGUUGGAAGAUAUAUCCCAAAAUCAGAUUCAUAAACUAUUGAAAGGCCUUCCUCCUAUUCGGUCAUUGGUAGCUGUUGGUUCUAGUGCAGCAAAGUUGGUUUCUCUGCCUGUGAAGAGUUACAAGA
rnacentral:misc_RNA from 1 species